rnacentral:ncRNA from 1 species
UACGAAACGUUGAUGAGGAGAAGUAGAAGAAAGUGCCCUUACCCAGAGAAAAUCACCGUGGCUGGAAGUGAUUUUAAGGGAAGUCUUCGAAAUGCACCUCGGAGUCUUCAGCCGAACGAAGUAGGUUGAAGCGGGUACCUUCCGUUAUCAAGGACCAAGUGGGGAAUGACUUUUCCCAAACAGAGUGGAACCACGCCUGACGCGUCUCUGUG